AAUAGCAAACAUUGUCACGCAAUCACGACGACUUGCUCUCGUUCUGUCAAAUUACAUAACCUCAACUGAGUCGCACUAUUUACUUUCAAGUUGUUUUGUUGUUAACGUUUGGAAUUGUGUAAAAUUAAAAGAUUACACAUUAAAAUUGUUUCCAUUUCCAUAAAUUGUUCGUAGAAGCAACAAAAAUGUUGCGUAGAAUGUGUAUCAAUUCAUUUGUUGUACAAAAUCAUAGGACAUUUUCAGUGUUGCCGAAACAUAUAAUAGCAAAAUGCUACCAUUCAAAUCGUAUUCGUAGUUUUACAAACACUUUGACCGCUUCGCCGAUAAUCCGAAGGAUACAAAGUCUACAUUUUUCUAGUGGUAAUGAAGGUGAAAGACUGAAUAAUGCAAAUAAUGAUUCAGAUGAUCAACUUGUCAGACCAAAAGCGGUAGCCAUCCGUAAAAUGUUCCAAUGUACUCAUGCCGAAGCAGCUGAAGUGUUGGAUUUUCUAUCAGACCUGAGUACAGAAGGUGAAAAUAGCAUUGAUCUGCGUUUAAUGAACAAAACGAUGAGAUGGUUACAUCGUAAUGGUGCCACUUUGCCGUUUAUUAUGAAGAAUUGUCAUCUUUUACUAUUGCCCAUUGACCACGUGAGGAAAAGGUUCGAACGACUCAGCCGGAGCAAAUGGAAAGAAAUCGAUGAUCUUCUACCAUUGCUGGCUGUAGAAGAGACAAAAAUCAAGAAUAUCCAAUUGCAUCAGGGGCAUGUGAUUCGAAAUCGCAUCUAUCUUUUGAAUGAGAUCUUUUUGAUUGAACCACACACCAUCAGCCACUAUUGCGCCAAACAUUUGUUCGUUUUCGAGAUGGAAUUGGAAUUGCUGAAGCAAAAAAUCGAAAUGUUGAUGAGCUGUGGUGUUAAACCGGAUCACAUUCUUCGCGACAUGAAUGUGUUGUUUCGAGCCAAAGAAGUGAUAGAAGGAAGAUUGGAAUUCAUUAAAAAAUGCGGUAUUGAACGAGUUAUGCCAUGGAUGAUCAAGUGUGAUGACCAAGUUCUAUGCAGGUCAAUUGAGAUUCGAAAUCAACGUGGAACGGAACAAAACAAAACGCUUGAGCUGUUGACCGGUCGACUGAAUUGGCACGGUCAAACGGCCAAUUCCAUGUUCAUGAAGAACAAAUUUUUACAGAAGCUUGAUUAUGACACGACAUCGCAAUUGCUGGACGAACUGUUACGAAUAUUUUCACCGGAUGACAUUACCGCAAACAUUGGCCUGUUGAGUCAUUCGGUGGCGCAUGUAAAAAUACGAGUGGCCGAAUUGACAACCUUAAAUAAAUCCCACGGCAUCUCACCGCAACUACUCAAUAUGAGCGAUAUAAAAUUCAAGCAAUUUUUGAAAAGAGUAAAAAAUAACUAAAAGCAUUCUAAAGCAAUAACAAACCAAAUCGUGGUUUUAUUUCAUUUCACUGCAUGUCACCAGGAUGUCACGAAGUUGCGCGUGAUUUCCAUUUACCAAUAACAUACGUGAAGUUGCGGCGAUUGUCAACAAAUGUCAACGAACAAAGACUGGGGAAAUGUACAAAUGUCACUCACUCACUCAUUACUGUGCGUGUGUGCGAGAAGAGAACAAACAAUUGAGAGUAAAACAAAUCAGAAAAUUUAUAGUUCGCAUAUCAUAUCGAACAGGUUUCUUAUCAGAACGCGAUAUUUCGGUGUUGAUCUCUGUCUCUAAUAAAUAUUAUAGUUACACCGAAUCAUCCGCAACAUCGUUUUUAUCGUUCAAGUCAAGUGUUGUGUCGGGAAAAAAAUAGGCGUUCAAUUUCGAGUUUAAAUUAAAUUGAAAUAUUCGUAGACUUGAACAAGUUCUUCUUCUUAUUUUUUUUCCGUGGUACAAGAACAAGUUCACCUCGAUAUAAUUACGCACAGUAGUUGCAGCAACCACAAUAAAUAAUUGCUCGUUUGCGCUAUAGUUGAAACAUCGUUGUCGCCGUCAUGGAUAUACAGCGGCAGCAAUUUAAUGGUGAUGCGAUCCGUCAAGAAUUGCUUAAACAGUACAUUCGCGCCACGACCACAUCAACGGACGAUGUCGAUCUGUUAGCCAUCGAUUUAUUUGCAACCAUGGUACAGCAAUACGAAGCAUUUAUCACGCUUGAUGCGACAAAAAUUAUUGCUGAAAAAUUCAAAUCAACCAACGCAGACGAAGUGUUACUUGCACUCAAUGUGUUGGAAGAAUGCAUGUCAAAGUGUGGCCCAAAAUUCCAUAAUGAAGUUGGAAAGUUUCGAUUUUUAAAUGAGCUCAUUCGAUUGGUGUCACCGCAUUAUGAUGGCGAGAGAACGCCCAAGAAAAUUCGUGAUAAAAUCUUAGAUCUAAUGCUGUUAUGGACGAUAAAUUUUCCACAUGAAAAGAAAAUAAAAGAAGCGUAUGAUAUGCUGUUGAAGCGAGGCGUACGGCAUGAGACUGCGAAACCACAGGUUGUGCAAAAUAACAACAAACCCGAAGCACUACCUGAUGUUAAACUACGUGAAAAAGCCGAACCCGAUUUAUCGGCCAAACUGCAACGCUUAUUGCGAUCCAGUAAUCCAGCCGAUUACAAAGCCGCCAAUUUACUUAUUCAAAAUAUGGUGAAAGAGAAAGAGCGACGUCACGAAGUGAACAUGCGCCGCAAGCUGGAGUUGAAAGAAAUCACCGAAAAUGCCACAGUUCUGAAGCAAAUGUUGGAUCAAUUGGAAGAAGACCAAAAUAAAGACGAUGCCGACGAAAUUACAGAAGAUGCUCUGGCUACUUUGAAAUUUUUGUACGAAUCUUGUCAAAAGCUUCAACCAACGAUUUUGAUUCUUAUCGGCGACACGGAAGAUAAUGAAUGUUUAGAUGAUGCCUUAGAAGCUAAUGAUUUGGUGACGGAAGUAUUUCGAAAAUAUCAUCAACUCAUCAUAAGUAACAGGCCAAAAUAUGCAAACGCCUGUUUGAUCUCAACGCAAAAUGCGGGCAAUGACUCGGUAGCUAAUGGUAGUCAAAAUGGCACCAAUUCCAACAAAAACACCAUGGACGAAUUGCAUGAAAUUUUCGCUAGCACCAGCAAUCCUAAUGCCACUCAUUCCAAUGGUAAGCCCAUUAUGGCAACGCUUACUCCGUUAGAACCAACACUUGCUACGGCCAAAAUGAAUACGAAUGAAAAAGCCUCAUCGGACAAAUCAUGGCAGGCCAUUAAAGAUUUGAAUAAUGCAACUAGUUCCUUAGACUCAUUCAUCACAUCGCCGAUUUCUUCGUCAAGUACUAAUUCGGUGAAACCGGUACCUCUGUCGAAUACAUACGGAAAUAUUCUGAACAAUGGAAGUUAUUCAACGGCAGCAACGAUUCCAUUAACGAGAGUCACUCUUCCUACAGUAUCAACUCCAACAACGGCAGCAUCCUCAAUUCAACCAGAGAAAGUGAAUGCAACGCAGCUAAAAUUCCAAAAUUUCGAUUCUGAACUCACGCAGCUAAUAAGUGGACUGAAAUCAAACUUGAAGAAAGAUGCAGACACUAAUUUGGAUGAUGAUAAAUUGCUCCUGGGUCAAGAUAACGACGUUGAGCCACUGGCAUUGACUCCAACGAAAACACCAAGCGAUAAGCCAGUUUUGGCGAACGAUUCGAGCGAACAACCGCAGCAACAAGUAGCUUCAUCUGAUGAAAGCGCCAUUCAAAGUGUCAAUCUAAACAAGCCGCUGGCCGAUAUCGUUGUCGAUUUGAACGACAUUCGACCGCAUGAUGACUAUGCACCACGGUGUAUCUUGGACGAAAAAUCGGGCGGCUUGAAAAUUAUGCUAAAUUUUACCAAAGAUAAACCUCGCAACGAUGUGGCCGUUUUGGUCAUCACAACGACAAAUCAAAAUAGUUUGCCAAUUAAGAAUUUUCAAUUUGAGGCCAGCGUAAUAAAGCCUUGUAAACUGCAUUUACAAAAACCAUCAGGCCACGAAUUGCCUGGCAUCAAACCGUUUCGCCCACCAACUGAAGAUAUCACGCAAAUUCUAUUGAUUUCGAAUGCCGAAUCGAAAAAGCCAUCGAAACUCGUAUGCAUCAUCAGCUACAACUUGGGCGACGAUCCGGACAUGGUUAAAGAGUUCCUCGAAAUCAAUGACCUACCUGAUCUUUUUAAUUGAGAAGAAUGAAAAAUCCUUUUACGUACUACUGUUCUAAUCAUUUUCCAAGUCAUAGUAAAUUAUAACAUAAAAAAGCAACAAAUUACCGAAUGCCAUUAUUGAGUUGCUCCAGCGCAUUAAGCUUCUGAGUGAUAGCCCAUCGUCGAACAACGCACGGUAGAACUUUGUACAGAUGAUUGACGACAGGUUCUGCGUCAGGCGCUA